GGGGGCUGGACGAUGGAGGGUUUCUCGUUCGCACAUCUGCUGUCCGCGCUGCAGAAGGGCCCCCUCUCUGAGGACCGUGUGGCCGUGUGUCGGUUGGUGUAGGCCAUCCGACCUUGGCCUCUAAGGCACGCGACACCGGGCUAGGCCCGACAGGGAGCAGCCAAAACGCGUCGCACGGUCCAGCAGAAGGACAAGGCCU
rnacentral:SRP_RNA from 1 species